rnacentral:misc_RNA from 1 species
AAAAUAAAAAGCAAAAAAAGUGUGAGCAUAUAUUCUUCUCAAGAGUGUGAAGAUAUUUUCCAAGCAGAGGAUUCAAAUGUGAUACAGGUUUCUUGUUCUAUCCUAGACAAAUAUGUAAAAGAGGUAUUAUGGUGUUGUGGGAAGUGAUCUAUCUGAGUGGAGAUUCCAAAUAUUGUGAGAAUACUGUUUGGCUAACUAUGAUGCGUGAAGCAAUCUAAAGCAUGUGAAAACAAAAUUAUCAACCUCUGAGUCCCUCUCUUCAUAAUCUUUUCUCAUGCCAAAAAUGCACAUUGGCUUAGCUAUGCAAUUUUGAACAGAAAAUGCCCCUUUUACAAUUAUCUUUGAAGCAUGUUUAUUUUUAUAUAUAAUUGUAUAUUAUCAUGGUUAAAUGAUUAAUAUUUUGACCUUGCUAAUUGAUCUCCUUGGUUAAUUUAGGGGAAGGUCUUUUCAUCCUGU